UCCUACGGGAGGCAGCAGUGGGGAAUAUUGGACAAUGGGGGGAACCCUGAUCCAGCCAUGCCGCGUGUGUGAAGAAGGCCCUCGGGUUGUAAAGCACUUUCAGCGAGGAAGAACGCCUAGCGGUUAAUACCCGCUAGGAAAGACAUCACUCGCAGAAGAAGCACCGGCUAACUCCGUGCCAGCAGCCGCGGUAAUACGGAGGGUGCAAGCGUUAAUCGGAAUUACUGGGCGUAAAGCGCGCGUAGGUGGCUUGAUAAGCCGGUUGUGGAAGCCCCGGGCUCGACCUGGGAACGGCAUCCGGAACUGUCAAGCUAGAGUGCAGGAGAGGAAGGUAGAAUUCCCGGUGUAGCGGUGAAAUGCGUAGAGAUCGGGAGGAAUACCAGUGGCGAAGGCGGCCUUCUGGACUGACACUGACACUGAGGUGCGAAAGCGUGGGUAGCAAACAGGAUUAGAUACCCUGGUAGUCCACGCCGUAAACGAUGUCGACCAGCCGUUGGGUGCCUAGCGCACUUUGUGGCGAAGUUAACGCGAUAAGUCGACCGCCUGGGGAGUACGGCCGCAAGGUUAAAACUCAAAUGAAUUGACGG
rnacentral:rRNA from 1 species